rnacentral:misc_RNA from 1 species
AGACAAUUUAGACUAUGGCACUUUACUUCAAAAAGGCCCUCACUUCGCCUCUUUCUAAGGCAAUAGGAUAUCUUGUCAACUUAAUAUCGCUUCUCAACUUAAUAACACUAUAUAGAACAAAAAGAAAACACAACCAAAUCUACUUGGUCCUUGGUGCACCAACUAUAAGAUCUCACAAACGGUUCAACCAUUCCUCACUAAAAUUCCCUAAAAUGUAUGGGUUGUUGAUCCUAAUGCAUGGGAAUCUCAAAAAA